AGGCACUCCUAGAAGGAAGUGGACUUAGUGACGUGGAUGAGGCACUAGUCAGAGGUCUGCUAUCAAAGAGGGCUGCGCCCCCUCUGCCUGACGUAGAUGCGGACCUUUUGCGCAAGAGAAGUGUGGCCGCAUCCCUUCAUGUCUAGACCUGGAACUGAUGGUGACACCCAUGUCCUGUCCCCCUCCAGCAGCACGAGGAGAUGAUCAUCGCUGCAUGACCCCACCUGAUCCCCUGGGAGCCCUGGCCCAUUUCCCUCUAAUCAUCAAUAAACCUCAUCA